GAACCUUACCAGCCCUUGACAUCCCGGUCGCGGGAACCAGAGAUGGAUCCCUUCAGUUCGGCUGGACCGGAGACAGGUGCUGCAUGGCUGUCGUCAGCUCGUGUCGUGAGAUGUUGGGUUAAGUCCCGCAACGAGCGCAACCCUCGCCCUUAGUUGCCAUCAUUUAGUUGGGCACUCUAAGGGGACUGCCGGUGAUAAGCCGCGAGGAAGGUGGGGAUGACGUCAAGUCCUCAUGGCCCUUACGGGCUGGGCUACACACGUGCUACAAUGGCGGUGACAGUGGGAUGCAAUGGAGCAAUCCUGCGCAAAUCUCAAAAAGCCGUCUCAGUUCGGAUUGUGCUCUGCAACUCGAGCACAUGAAGUUGGAAUCGCUAGUAAUCGCAGAUCAGCACGCUGCGGUGAAUACGUUCCCGGGCCUUGUCACACCGA
rnacentral:rRNA from 1 species